ACGGGAGGCAGCAGUGGGGAAUAUUGGGCAAUGGGCGAAAGCCUGACCCAGCAACGCCGCGUGAGGGAUGAAGGUUUUCGGAUUGUAAACCUCUGUUCUUAGUAACGAAGAAAGUGACGGUAGCUAAGAAGGAAGCCCCGGCUAACUACGUGCCAGCAGCCGCGGUAAUACGUAGGGGGCGAGCGUUGUCCGGAAUUACUGGGCGUAAAGGGUGAGUAGGCGGUUUAUUAAGUUGGAUGUGAAAUACCCGGGCUUAACUUGGGGGGUGCAUUCAAAACUGGUAGACUAGAGUAUCGGAGAGGAAAGCGGAAUUCCUGGUGUAGCGGUGAAAUGCGUAGAUAUCAGGAGGAACACCGGUGGCGAAGGCGGCUUUCUGGACGACAACUGACGCUGAGGCACGAAAGCGUGGGGAGCAAACAGGAUUAGAUACCCUGGUA
rnacentral:rRNA from 2 species